rnacentral:rRNA from 1 species
CCUACGGGUGGCUGCAGUGGGGAAUAUUGGACAAUGGGGGGAACCCUGAUCCAGCCAUGCCGCGUGUGUGAAGAAGGCCCUCGGGUUGUAAAGCACUUUCAGUGAGGAAGAACGCCUGGUGGUUAAUACCCAUCAGGAAAGACAUCACUCACAGAAGAAGCACCGGCUAACUCCGUGCCAGCAGCCGCGGUAAUACGGAGGGUGCGAGCGUUAAUCGGAAUUACUGGGCGUAAAGCGCGCGUAGGUGGCUUGAUAAGCCGGUUGUGAAAGCCCCGGGCUCAACCUGGGAACGGCAUCCGGAACUGUCAAGCUAGAGUGCAGGAGAGGAAGGUAGAAUUCCCGGUGUAGCGGUGAAAUGCGUAGAGAUCGGGAGGAAUACCAGUGGCGAAGGCGGCCUUCUGGACUGACACUGACACUGAGGUGUGAAAGCGUGGGUAGCAAACAGGAUUAGAUACCCGGGUAGUC